rnacentral:rRNA from 1 species
UACGUAGGUGGCAAGCGUUGUCCGGAUUUAUUGGGUUUAAAGGGUGCGUAGGCGGCUUUGUAAGUCAGUGGUGAAAUACUCCAGCUUAACUGUCGCAGUGCCUUUGAUACUGAUGAACUUGAAUGUACUUGAGGUAGGCGGAAUGUGACAAGUAGCGGUGAAAUGCAUAGAUAUGUCACAGAACACCAAUUGCGAAGGCAGCUUACUAAAGUAUGAUUGACGCUGAGGCACGAAAGCGUGGGGAGCAAACAGG